rnacentral:rRNA from 1 species
CAGCCGCCGCGGUAAUACGAAGGGGGCUAGCGUUGCUCGGAAUGACUGGGCGUAAAGGGCGCGUAGGCGGUUUUCCAAGUUAGAUGUGAAAUUCCUGGGCUCAACCUGGGGGCUGCAUUUGAUACUGGGAGGCUUGAGUAUGGAAGAGGGUCGUGGAAUUCCCAGUGUAGAGGUGAAAUUCGUAGAUAUUGGGAAGAACACCGGUGGCGAAGGCGGCGACCUGGUCCAUAACUGACGCUGAGGCGCGAAAGCGUGGGGAGCAAACAGGAUUAGAUACCCCCGUAGUCCCUGUCUCUUAUAC